UACAGAGGGUGCAAGCGUUGUCCGGAAUCACUGGGCGUAAAGGGCGCGUAGGCGGCCCGAUAAGUAGGGGGUGAAAUCUUGCGGCUCAACCGCAAGGCUGCCUUCUAGACUGUCGGGCUUGAGCACAGUAGAGGCAGGUGGACUUCCCGGUGUAGCGGUGGAAUGCGUAGAUAUCGGAAGGAACAUCAGUGGCGAAAGCGACUUCCUGGACCAAUACUGACGCUCAUGUGCGAAAGCGUGGGGAGCAAACAGG
rnacentral:rRNA from 1 species